AAAUUAAAUGAUAUCGUAGCUUUCGUCCAUUCGAAACCUAAAUUGGGCGGAGACAAAACAAAAUACAGAAAAAAACUUAUUUUGUAAUAAAUGAGGCAAUAAAAUUAGUUAUAGGUAUCUAAUUUCUUAAUUUAUUUACUUGAAUGAAAAUAAAUUUGCCAUUAGAAUCAUCAUUUGUUGAUAACCGCCGUUCUAACAAAAUGUAAAACUCAGAUUAACGUAUAUUUCCGUAUACAUAGCCUACUUUAGCAAAAUAUCUCCAGAGUGACGUCACAAAUUGCUAGCCAGUGAAAGAGAAAGGUGCGCAAAAGGAUACAUAUAUAACUUCACGAUGAUUCACCCGUUAUGUUCACAGUUGACAGAACAGAAGAACGAAUGAAUAUCAAGCAAUGAUUUGUGUAACAUUUUCUUAAGUGUUAUGAGUACGUAAUAAAUAUUCUCGCAGAAACUGUAUGGUGUUAUUAGACGCAGCGUCGCACUGCGUGGCUGCGACUGGUUGAUAAUCGCUGGCUCCUCUGUGACAUUGUGGGCAUUGGUGAAUCAAGCUUGUCGUGAAUGUCAGUGCGCUUGCAAACUGACUCCCCUGCUGCAGCUCAUACACCGGUCGUCACUGGGUUCUGAUGUACUUUGUAAUAAUUAAGAUAGUUUCUGAACCAGAACAGUUGAUAAGCUACGGUCCUGAAUCAAAAAAGGUAAAUUUAAAAUGUGUCGUAACUUUAUCUUUGAGCCUCAUUUAGAAAAUGUUAACAUACUCACCUUUCAUUGUUAGGUACAUAUUUUUUUACACAAUCCCGCAUAACCCUGCAAGUUAUAAAAAUUCUUCCAAUGUAUGAAUUUCCCAAUUACAUACAUAUUGAUAAUGCCGAAUGUGGACUUUAUAUAUAUAUACACAUGCAUACUUACACAUAUAUGUAUAAUAAUUGAAAGAAAAUGUUUGCUUCAAUGUCUCCCCUAUAAAUAAUAAAUGAAUUACCUAUAUGAUUAAAUAUCCGUGUUCUUAGUGGAUAUAACUAGGAAAAUCUGCAUAAUUUGUAUGUAUUUUGGUAGUUAUUAAAAAAGUACAAUUAAACUUACAAUAUUAUGAAUUGUCAUACCUCUAAUGUUAAAUUUUACUCUUGUACCGAUAGCACACUGUAUCUAAGUAACAUAAUUAAGAUGUCACAGAUAUAAUAUUUAAUACUUACUAAUUUUAUUCGACAAUGUGUUUCCGAUUCAUUUGACUUCUUGCAAAUGGGUUAUAAAUUAAGUAUAACUCCAGAGACGUACCAAAUUAGGUUACCUUGAGAAACUCAUGACGUCAGCGUGUAUGGUUUAUGUGUUAGGGAAAAUUUAUUCAAAUACUGUGUAUUAAAAAAGUGCAUGACAUGGUA